UUUUUUUUUUUUUUUUUUUUUUUUUUAAAGACAUCAGGCUUUAUCCUAUUUUAUUUCAAUCUGAAAUUGUGGUGAGGUUGGAAACAUAGUUAUUUGUUAUUGUGUUAAAUAUCAAGAAAAGCCUCUCAGAGAAAGUGAUAACUCAUGGACAGCCCAGAAAAAUGUUGCUUUAAAGCACUGUUCUGUUCAUGCUGCAAUUUUUGUUGUUUUCCUUGGAUCUUUUCUUUAUAAUCAAGGACAUUUGCAUGAAAUAUAUGCCUUCUUGAGAAUAUAGCUUAUCCUUCAUAAGAAAUCAGUGAUAGCUACAGAACUGAAAAUUCUUUCAAAAGAUAAACAAAAUCUAUAGGGAGAAAUAUUAGAGAUGAUAAAUCUAUUUAGAGUUAUAUCAUUAUUUUAAUUACUGCUGGAUAUAGAAUUAAUCCAAACAGAUCUAGACUGUGUCGCUCUGUAAUUAUAUCUAUCUGAAAUUCCAAAUAUAUUUUCCAGCACAGUCUUAAAAAAUAUAAUAUACACAUGUAUAAAUAUCCUAUUAAUAUGUAUAUGUAGGAUAUGUUUAUACAUGUACAUGUGUGUUGUGGCUGUAUAUAUACAUAUAUGUGCAUAUCUCAUAUACAUGUGUGUGUGCAUACAUAUGCUGUGGCAUGGAUAAAAUGGUACUGAAAUUAUAUGCUACAUAAAAAAGACUCCUCAGAAAAUUAGUCCAUUUGGAAAUGCUAAAGCUCACAGGCUUAUGUUUAAAAUCUUAGAAAUGAAAGAAUAGUUUGUCAAAAUAGCUAAUAAAAUUUUAAACAAAGAUUCUAUUUUCACACCAUUGCCUUUGAUGAUAGAGAAUUAAAAGGAGCAGGAGAAACACCUACAAUAACAAGCAGCAGCAACACUGAUAAGCAAAUCCCAUUCAUCUUAGAGGCGGGAUUGAACAGUGAAAUGCUGCACUGUGAGAGACACAAGAGAACAGAUUCCAAAUUUCCCUGACGUUAAUUUCUAUGAUUCUGUCAGCAGUAGUCAUGGUAGUGUUUGGCAGAACUAUGCUUGUGGUGUUAGUGGAUGCUCUUACACAGUGCUGUCUCCAGCCUCUGUAAUUGCACGAUACACCUAAACUAAAGAAGCACAUAUACUCCUUUCACAAAUCUGAGGAUUCUUUACUUUUCCAUCACCUAAACAUCACGUUUAGUCUCCUUACUAUGGGCCACAGAGCAUUCACAUUUUACCUCCUUUGACUUCACUAAAAUUUCUUUGUCGCUUGUGCUAUACUCUUCUCUCAUACUUUCCCGGUCUCUAGCCACUGGACAGGUGUAAUGCACAGAGCACGUAGUUCCUUUGCACAUGCACUUUCCAGUACUUGGAACAAUGCCCAAGCAGGAUCUUACUCUGCAUUUAAGACUCAAUGCAAAAGCCAUUUUCUCUGUGAAUUCUUUGUGAAGAAACCCUCCUUGUUUCCUUAAUUCUUCCUUCCUCAUUUUGAUUCAGUAUUCCCUAGGAGAAAGUAAAGUAUGUGUUUGGGAUCUAAGAUCAAAUGUUUAAAUUUAUGGAUUAACAACUUAUUACAACUCUGACCAUAACUGAAUUACCUAACUAUUCAGAGUUUCAGUUUAGUCACAUAUAAAUCAGGCAUGAUAAAAUCAAAAUUGUGGUUUUUCAUGAAGACUUAAGGAAAUAUGUAAGCAAAAGUUCCCAAAAAGGGCCUAACACACAGUAGAUGUCCAAGAAUUAUUAUCUUUCCUCCCUCACUCCUUUCCCCACAAUCCUAUGGGAUUUUGACAAAACCAAAGUAACUCAUCCUAUUUCUAUAUACAGACAUACUGAUCUUCUUACCAUCAACAGAUUAAUGGGACAGCCAUGAUUUGGUCAUAUUUGUACUCUUUCAUGGCAAAAUAACAUGGGUCUUCAAGGAUGUUUAUUAAAUAUAUCAAAUAAACUAGCCUCCUUUUCCUCUUUUCCCCCUCAUAUGAAUACAUAUAUUUAACAUAAAAUAAUGAAAAAGAUAGCUUCAAAUCAUGCUUUUAUUUUGACUUAAUAGUUUAUUUAACUUAAUAUUUUAUUGUCCAUUUUGUUUCAUAAUUCUGUUAAUUGUUGCUUGUGAUAAGUACGUAUUAUUUCAUCAUGGUGAUUGAUGGCCAUAAAUUUUAUAGUCUCUAAAGUGCUGUCAAAUACCUAAGGUGCUUCUUACUUUUCGCUAUUAUAAUGACACUUUCAUAAGCAUCUUCAUACACACAUAGUUUUUUCUCAAAAUACAAUUCAUAGUUUGGAUUAUCAGAAUACACUGAUAAGUCUAAGAAGGUGUGAACAUUCCUUUGGCUCUAGAAAUUAUUUGCCAAAUUACUCCUAAAAAGAUUUCUACAAGUUCAUUCUAUCACCUGUAAGGCAUGUAUAUGCCAACUGUAUAGAAAUCUACUGAAAUUGCAUUUAAUCUUUCUGCAGACACCUAUUUCAUCUGCUCUUCACUUUUUCCAUUUCUAUGAUAGCUUUCCCUAUUCCCACUUCAGCCAUAUGACUACUUGGAAGCUAUUUGCUUACCUUCCCUCUGUCUUAUUAGGCAGAGUUAAUUCCUCUAAUAAUAAGCAACUGGACCAAUAUUCCUCAUGGAAAAUUUUGAAGUCAAUAAUGAAGUAGGAAGUCAAUCUCUCAGGUUAGGAAGUAAAGGUCCCAAAGAUACAGCCUUUGCUUUUCUCUCACCAGUGCUUGCAAUUUAAUAUGGUCAGCUCCUUCUCAUCUCCCAUCAGUUUCUAGAUUCUCUGUGCUAUUUUAUUUUCUAAAAAUGUAUAAAAUUACUCAUUCUUAGUUGUUUAUUUUCUCUCUCAUCCCUCCAUAUCCCUAUAUCCCUCUGUAAUAGACCAUCCAUUUCAUGAGGGCUGUUUGUUUCAGUCUUAUUUGCUAUUGCAUCGCUAGCACCUGGAAAAUUACCUGGUGUAGAGAAGCAUGUCAGGAACAAUUUAUUGAAUAAAUAUUGAAUUAAUAUGUGAGAUAUCCAAUCUUUUGUCAGUAAGUUUGAACUUAAAUUGAUUCACAAAAGAAUUCUGAUUGAUAAAGACCCAAAUUUGAGUUUUGCUCAAAGACUAUAUAUGCUUCAGUUUCCUUAGUUGUUUAGGGCUUAACAAGUAAAAUUCAGGGCAUACAAAACUAUAGCUUCUUCCAAUGAGAAAUUUGUGGAAACUCCAAAAGACAUAACAAACUCUUGUAAUCAAGGUCUCUCAUCAGGUUCUACCAGCCAUUUGUCAUGUUGUUAAUUCUCUGCCUGAUUUCAUACAGAGGAAAGGAGUUUUACAACAGGAGCUCAUUGCAGAAAUUAAAACUCAAACUGGCUGUCCUCUGUUCAUUUGCCACACGACAUAGGUUUCUGGUGACAUUCAGCUAAUGAAUUUUCUUCAUGAUUAACUACCCGUUAUAGGUGGCCAUUAUAAUGGAAAUAUAUUCAGGCUGUGCUAUACCCCUUACAAGCAAGGUAGUUGUGUAAAGGGUCAUUAAUAUAAGUGAGCUGGGACAGUCUUCUUUUAUGAAGUCAGAGAAAAAUGGAGCUUGAAAAAUAUGGCUCACAAUCAAACAAACUGCUGAAACAAAAACUAUGCUCUGCUGGACCAUAACAUCUAUUCGUUUUUAUUAGGAUACGAGGCAAAAGUUAUGCAAAAUUAGAUGAUAUAUGCAAUAUAGGCAUUCUUUAUUUCAUUCUUCCAGAUGCGUUGAAGGGAAAGUAGAAAGAACUGAAAAAAGUCAAACAAGUGCCCAAUUAUUUUUCCUUAAAAAUCAACAUCUAGUAUUUGCUUAACUUGUCAAAAUCCUCUGUAGAAUUUAUACUGAGGGAAGGUUUUCACCAUUGCUUAAUCUGUAGUGACAUCUGGUGGCCCAAUUUACUCAAGUAGUUGGAGAAAACAGGUCUUCAUUAUGCAUCUUUUAAAACUCUUGAGUGGAUACAAGUCUUUAUGUGGUCACCAUUAAGAAUGAGCUAACCCGGGAUGCCUGGGUGGCUCAGCAGUUGAGCGUCUGCCUUCAGCUCAGUGUGUGAUCCUGGAGUCCAAGGAUUAAAUCCCACAUUGGGCUCUUUGCAGGGAGCCUGCUUCUCCCUCUGCCUGUGUCUCUGCCUCUCUCAUGAAUAAAUAAAUUCUUAAAAAAUAAAUAAAUAAAAGAAUGAGUUAACUCUUUUUUGAAUCCAAAAGCCAAGUGUGCAUGUGUGAUAUGGGAGAGCAUGGAGAGGUAACAAAACUAAACUUAAAAAGACUGUAACAAUGCCUUAUGUUGGGAUUAACGUAUAAUCUCAUUUUGAUUCUUUUUCAUGUUCAUGUGAUUUGCCUUUUUUACAUUAUUUUGGACUCAAUUAUUAAACUAAUUAAAUAUUUACUGAAUGCCUCAUAAUCAUCAAAUACUAUGGAUACUUUGCUUAAAUUAUCAUUAAUUCACUCAACAAAUAUUUUAUUGAGCAUCUAUUGUGAAUCAUUUUUUUUAAAAACUUAUGUAUAAAUAGAAUGGAUUAUCCUGAUUUUCCCAGUGGAAAAAUAAAUAUGCCAUCUCAAUAGUGACUUCUAGAUUUCCAGAUGUCCCAGCAAAUAUCUUAAGAUUCUUAAGUAUGUUUUUACAUUUUUUAACCCUUAGCAUAUCAGGUAUUUUCUGGGCAUCUAGCAAUUAUUCAAGAUAUGUAUGACAAUCAAAUACCUGCUGAUUAUUAAUAUAUUAUGCAUGUCUCAUAAAUUAUCUAAUCAUUAAUAGAAUUAUGGAGCAAUAUAUUCUUCCACUACUCCUAUUCUCAAUAAAUUGAUACCCUUCUCAUCCAUUUAUACAAAUCAAGUACCUAGGAGAUAUCUUCAAUUCCUUUUCUUCCUUAAAUCCAAUUCAUUACAAAUUCC
rnacentral:lncRNA from 1 species